rnacentral:misc_RNA from 1 species
GAUGAAGAACGUAGCGAAAUGCGAUAAGUAAUGUGAAUUGCAGAAUUCAGUGAAUCAUCGAAUCUUUGAACGCACAUUGCGCCCGCCAGUAUUCUGGCGGGCAUGCCUGUUCGUGCGUCAUUACAACCCUCAGGCCCCCGGGCCUGGCGUUGGGGAUCGGCGGAGCCCCCCGUGGGCACACGCCGUCCCCCAAAUACAGUGGCGGUCCCGCCGCAGCUUCCAUCGCGUAGUAGCUAACACCUCGCGACUGGAGAGCGGCGCGGCCACGCCGUAAAACACCCAACUCUUCUGAAGUUGACCUCGAAUCAGGUAGGAAUACCCGCUGAACUUAAGCAUAUCAAUAAGCGGAGGA